rnacentral:lncRNA from 1 species
CCCAUCUGACUUUUGACCUCAAAAACUUGUAAAGAUACAUUCAUAGUCUUAAGAAAAAAAAUUGAAAAUGCAAGCACUUUGAAACCAAAAUUCAGAACAAAAUCGUUGAAAAAGGUAAGAAGAUCACAAUGCACAGAUCCAAAGACAGAAUCAACAGUCACAAAACUUGCACAAACAAAAGGCAGAAAUAAAGACAAGACAAUUAAAAAAAAGAAAGAUAAGAGAGAUGAAACAACACCAACAUCCCAAUACAGCAAAUAUACAACUAGAAGAGGAUAAACACAUAAAAAGAGGACCUUUACAAGAGAAAUCCACUAAAAUUAUCAUCAGAAAAUGGAACAAUGAACAUAAUUUCAAGAAAUUAACAAAGACCAAGUCUUUUUUUUAAAUGCUCAGCUUCAGAACAAAAAAACCAGCAAGAUAUAUCCAGCUCCUAACUAACACCAAAGGAAUCCAAGAAACCCCAUCAACUAGAAAGAGGAGACUGUGCCUAUCCAUAAAGGAUUUAAAUUUUGCCUUGGAAGAAGAGAAACGAAGUGGUAUACUGAAUGUAACCUUAAAUCUCUCAAACAACCAAAGAGAUAUAAAGUACUGAAAUUUACAACUACUACAAAAUCAAAGCAAAAUGUAACAGAUUAAAAAAGGGGAAAAUUAGAAUUUAAAAUGAGUUUCUUGUGUUUUCUCCAAUCCCCUUCUUGUAAGCAUGCACAAGAAAAGAAAGGGAGAGAGGGAGAUGUCCAUGAAGCAGGACCAAGUACUUAGAAAAAUUACAUCACCUGACAUGAGCUUAUUCAUAACACUAGUAUCAACUAAAAGAAAAUGAUCUACAUACACCUCCAGGAUUCAGCUUUUACUGCAAUAGCACUACAAGUUGACAACUAAAAAAGGGAAGAAUCACAUAAAAUGGAACAUUAUUAGUAUCUGUUUGAGAUUAUGGUUGAAUUUCAUUAUGGUUUUGCCUCUUUUUUUUUAACCAGAGAACCAGCUCCGUCAGUUCAAUUCAAACUCAAUCAAACAGUCUCAACUCAGAUGUCUUCUGCAACAAAGAAUCCCAAGGAACUAUCAAAAAGCUGGGCAGAUCAAGCAGAUGAGAAAAAAGGGAAUGAGGUAGACUCGCUAGACAGUCAUGUGUCAAUUUAUAAGGAAAAUGCAAGUCCUACCAAUGCACAAAAGUUCAAUAAACAUAACUCAAACGCAGAAUAUUAAAAAUAGAACAAGAGACAAUCCGCAACUCACAACUUUAGUAACCUACUUAAAUGAGAUUCAGAUUCGAAUUAGAGCAAACCUAAAUGAGAUUUUUAGAUAUUUUAUAUACACUCACAAGUCUCUUGCGAUGCUCCCCAACACUGAUAGAGCCACCCGUGUGAGCCACCGGAUAAUAUUUUGUGCUUAUUAAUGGUCCAUGAGCAAGACUACGCAAGAAUUGGUUCUCAAUGUGGUUGCAUCGAACCUAUUUCAAAAAAAUUAUAAGACUUAGUUAAAUAUAACAAGCCAAUUCAAGAACAUAAUUGCUUAAAAGAUAAUGAUUUUUAUAGUCUUACAUAUUCCUUGAACCAUAUAGCAAAAUACGUUUCGAAACUCUCAUUUAUUUGAUCCUGAUAUAGAUUGGGGAAUUCUUCUUGCAACCGUUGUAUGUAUAUACUUCAUUGCAACAAAAUAAGUUAAAUACAAACUCAAAAUAUAUGGAUAUAUUUAUUAUUAUAAAAAUGAUACCUUACAAACGGCUCAACCUCUACACAAUUUAGUAGAAUAUAAGUUUGGGAUGCCUUGAUUUCUUCGAGGGACAAACUUCUCUUUUUUCCUUCUCCCCAUAGUCAGCCUAGAUGGGUGAAUAUUGAUAAAUUUCUUUCAAGAUCUUCCAUAACACCAUCAUCAUCAUUACGGGCCACAUUAUGAUUACGUGUCAUGACAUGAGGUUUAAAAUAAUGAGAAAACAAUUGUAUUGAUUCCAUCAUCAAGUAUGCUUCACAAAUUGAACUAUUAUGGAAAUAUUAGACUUUGAAUAUUUCACGCAAAAAAUAAAUAAUUAGCACAUUCAUAUGUUCAUCUUCUCGAAAUAUUAGACUUUGAAGGGAGAAAUUCAACUACUGAAUCGUCCUUUCUUCUAAUACUCCAUUAAUUAACUCUGGGAUUCCAGUCCAUCUCCUCCAAUUCUUCUCACAACACAUGUAAUGUACUAACAUUAGACCUCAAAAUUACACGCAAUUAGCCUCAAAAUGACCUUUCUUCACCAUUAUAUGUACUACUCUAUUUCAAACACAGAUUUUUUUUAGCAAUAAAUAUCAUCCACAAUGGGAUAAGUCUCCCAAAAUGAAAAUAAAGGAAAGAACAAUGAACAUCGUGGCUUUUCAAUGUAGCUUAUGUAUUUUUGUUAAGUACUGUUGUCAAAUCGUCUAAACAGCACUUGACCGUCCAUAAGCACUAUUUCAAACACAGAAUUAGUUGAUGCUAUAUGCAUGCCAGAGUAAUUUUCCCUCUAAGAAAUUAUUAUAAAUGAGUGACUGCUUUAACCAACAUUCAUCCUUUAGCAGCAAAAGACAUACAACCUCCACCCAACAGAUUUCCAGGCCUAACUGAAACUACUAACUCUGCUAUAAAUAAACAGGACUAAACAUCAAACAGAUAGAGAAGAUGAUGGUCUGAGAGGUCAGCUUGUUGCUCCAAAGCAAAAUAAAGCACAAGACAGGAUGAACAUGAUUCUCGCCCAGAUCUACAAUACAUAAUGAAAUCACAAAGAAGCUUACCUUUUCAAGGGCAUACAAUCCCUAAAAUCAACGCACGACUUCAAAUUUCAAAAUUUUGCAAACACACGACUUCGAAUUUCAAAUUUUCGUAGCAAAAAUUUUGCAAUUUUGAAAGUUUUCUUCCUAUUUUUCAGACAUUAACCCUAGAUUCACGCCCAAUUUUUUGUAUUUGAAGAAAAAAACUCACGAAGAGGAGUGAAAGUGGGAGUCUGAUAGAGAGGAGAGAAAGGGGGCGUGUUUGUGCCCUAAUUGUUGGAAUGUUUUUUAG